rnacentral:lncRNA from 1 species
ACUUUCCGGCCCCGCGGCCCAACGCAAGAACACGACAUGCAGACGGCGAGCGGGCGGCGAGCGGCCGGGCCCCCCCGGCCCCCCCAGCGGCGGGGAGCCCCAGGCAUGCAGCUCCUCCUGUGCGGUGAGCCCGGGUCUGGUAAUACUUAGUCUUCGAAGGCAAGGCACAUCAUGUGGUAUAAAAUUUCGUGCAAAUUAGGAAAACAUGGAUUUUUUUUUUUUUUUUUUACGGCUUUUUUUUUUUUUUUUUUUUUUUUUUUUUUUUUUUUUUUUUUUGUUUUUUUUUCCUUUUUUUUUUCCCCGGGAUUUCCUGCGUCAGCCCUUUCCCCGCGGUGCCACGCUGCGCCCAGGCGGGCAGGAUCCGGCCUUGCUGGGCCAUCCCGGGGCUGCUUGAAGGGGGUGUGUGUGGGGGGGGUGCAAAUGCUCUGGGGGGCGGCGGGGGAGGCGAGCAGGGUGCGGGUGCAGGUGCGGGGUGCGGGCGGUCCAUGGGGUGCCCCACGGGGCGGCGGCAGUGGCCUUGGGCCAUCCCUCGGUGGCUUCGUGCCGGUGUCCCCGCGGCCGUGCCAUCACCUUGCGGGAGGCGCUGGGGCCUUGGCCAGCCCCUGCUCGUCUCCGGGUGCCGCGUGCCGGGUCCCCUGCUCUAAGGCACUGCCCGCGGCGCGGUGCGGCCGGAUCUCGGUCCCCGUGUCCCCUUGCCGGGCGCGGUGACAUCUCGCCGUGGGAUGGGGCCACCGCCGGGCUCUUCCUCGUGCGCUCGCCGUGAAUGACGCCUCGGUGCCAACGCACUGGUGCCGACGGAGCGAUGCUCGCCGCGGGGCUGGCACGGCGACGGUGCCGGUGGGCGAUGCUGCGUGGCGAUGCCCUGGUGCCGGUG